AUAAUAAUAAUAAUAAUAAUAGUCAUUAAGGAUGUAUAUUUUGUGAACUAAGAAUAUAUGAUUAGGUGCAAGGUGAGAAUAACCAUGUAUGUAUGAUAGUAGCAAUGAGGAGAUGUGAUUCACUAUAAUAGUAUAAGGUGUAGGGAUUGGAAGUACUUAGUUUAGUGUAUGAAAGUUUAAGUUGAACAUGAGUGUCUAAUAUAUCUUUAAAGUUUUUGAGCUAUAAGCUACAAUUUUGUAAACUUCUCAGUUAGAUCUUGGUCACCACACAUAUUUUUUCAAAAAACUAUUACAAUAGAAAUAUACUAUCUUGUAUCCAAAAACUAUUACCUUCAUCUGCUUCUCUGUAAAUGGUAAGGAGAUCUGCACGAAUGCAACAACAAAAUUAGAGCAAUUAAAAGAAAGAAUCAUAUUUUGUUGAAUCUACGAAAAUUCAUUUGUUUGAUAUGUUUCUAUUUGUAAAUCAACAAUAGGUAGGAGGUGUUGAAUCAACAAGAUCAGCCACUGAUUGGUUGGUAUCUAUAGAUUGUCUUUAAAAUAGAACCUUGCAUUUCAAUUUUUUAUGCUUACUUUGCGAGUGGUUUAGAGUGGGUGUUGAAUUGAAUAUUCUUGAGAUGCCUUGUCUGAUCUUUGAUUGUAGAAAGUCCAUUAGGGUCUGUUUAGUUCAGGGGUUUUGGAGCUAUGGUUCACUAAGCUAAAUAAAUUGGGAAAAAGUGUCUGUUAAGUAAUAAUCCGACACCUUUUUCAAAUUUCAAUCCUAUUGAGGAUUCCGCCCUCUUGCAGCCUAAUGGUCUGAUUUGAAAUUCGCCGUUCUUUAAUUUUGUCAUUGGUUAACCGCAUGUUCUUGUGGCAUGUCAUUUCAUUAUUUAUUUUCAAUGACUAAGCUUGGUCUAUCUUUCUGUCUUGAUCCUAGUUUUAGUUUCAUAUAUUAUUACUGUUAGUUGAAUUGGGGUAUAAAAGUGA
rnacentral:lncRNA from 1 species